CAGCCGCCGCGGUAAAACGAGGGGGGCAAGCGUUGUUCGGAAUUAUUGGGCGUAAAGGGUGCGUAGGCGGCUUGACAAGUCUUGUGUGAAAUCUAUGGGCUCAACCCAUAGUCUGCACGGGAAACUGUCGGGCUUGAGAAUGGGAGAGGUGAGUGGAAUUUCCGGUGUAGCGGUGAAAUGCGUAGACAUCGGAAGGAACACCUGUGGCGAAAGCGGCUCACUGGACCAUUUCUGACGCUGAUGCACGAAAGCUAGGGGAGCAAACAGGAUUAGAUACCCCAGUAGUCCCUGUCUCUUAUAC
rnacentral:rRNA from 1 species